rnacentral:rRNA from 1 species
GUCGUGACUGCGUGCCUUUUGAAGAAUGAGCCUGCGAGUUUGCGGUAUGUUGCGAGGUUAACCCGUGUGGGGAAGCCGUAGCGAAAGCGAGUCCGAAUAGGGCGUUGAGUAGCGUGCCCAAGACCCGAAGCGGAGUGAUCUAGCCAUGGGCAGGUUGAAGCGGAGGUAAGACUUCGUGGAGGACCGAACCCACCAGGGUUGAAAACCUGGGGGAUGACCUGUGGUUAGGGGUGAAAGGCCAAUCAAACUCCGUGAUAGCUGGUUCUCCCCGAAAUGCAUUUAGGUGCAGCGUCGUGUGUUUCUUGCCGGAGGUAGAGCACUGGAUAGGCGAUGGGCCCUACCGGGUUACUGACCUUAGCCAAACUCCGAAUGCCGGUAAGUGAGAGCGCGGCAGUGAGACUGUGGGGGAUAAGCUCCAUGGUCGAGAGGGAAACAGCCCAGAGCAUCGACUAAGGCCCCUAAGCGUGUGCUAAGUGGGAAAGGAUGUGGAGUCGCAGAGACAACCAGGAGGUUGGCUUAGAAGCAGCCACCCUUGAAAGAGUGCGUAAUAGCUCACUGGUCAAGUGAUUCCGCGCCGACAAUGUAGCGGGGCUCAAGCACACCGCCGAAGUCGUGUCAUUGCAGCAUGAGGACCAACGUCCGUUGUGAUGGGUAGGGGAGCGUCGUGUGCCGGGUGAAGCAGCCGUGGAAACGAGUUGUGGACGGUUCACGAGUGAGAAUGCAGGCAUGAGUAGCGAUACACACGUGGGAAACGUGUGCGCCGAUUGACUAAGGGUUCCUGGGUCAAGCUGAUCUGCCCAGGGUAAGUCGGGACCUAAGGCGAGGCCGACAGGCGUAGUCGAUGGACAACCGGUUGAUAUUCCGGUACCCGCUUUGAAACGCCCAAUAUCGAAUCCAUUAAUGCUAAGGCCGUGAAGCCGGCCUGGAGUCUUCGGACAAAGGGACGUGGUGGAGCCGCCGAUCCAAGGUGGUAGUAGGUAAGCGAUGGGGUGACGCAGGAAGGUAGUCCAGCCCGGGCGGUGGUUGUCCCGGGGUAAGGGUGUAGCCCGUCAUCUAGGCAAAUCCGGAUGACAUGAGGGUGAGACCUGAUGCCGAGCCGAUUGUGGUGAAGUGGAUGAUCCUAUGCUGUCGAGAAAAGCCUCUAGCGAGUUUCAUGGCGGCCCGUACCCUAAACCGACUCAGGUGGUCAGGUAGAGAAUACCGAGGCGUUCGGGUGAACUAUGGUUAAGGAACUCGGCAAAAUGCCCCCGUAACUUCGGGAGAAGGGGGGCCAUUGCUGGUGAUGGAAUUUACUUCCUGAGCUGGUGGUGGCCGCAGAGACCAGCGAGAAGCGACUGUUUACUAAAAACACAGGUCCGUGCGAAGCCGUAAGGCGAUGUAUACGGACUGACGCCUGCCCGGUGCUGGAACGUUAAGGGGACCGGUUAGUCACAUUUCGGUGUGGCGAAGCUGAGAACUUAAGCGCCAGUAAACGGCGGUGGUAACUAUAACCAUCCUAAGGUAGCGAAAUUCCUUGUCGGGUAAGUUCCGACCUGCACGAAUGGCGUAACGACUUCUCGACUGUCUCAACCAUAGGCCCGGUGAAAUUGCAUUACGAGUAAAGAUGCUCGUUUCGCGCAGCAGGACGGAAAGACCCCGGGACCUUUACUAUAGCUUGAUAUUGGUGUUCGGUUCGGCUUGUGUAGGAUAGGUGGGAGACUUUGAAGCAGCCACGCCAGUGGUUGUGGAGUCAUUGUUGAAAUACCACUCUGGUCGUGCUGGAUGUCUAACCUGGGUCCGUGAUCCGGAUCAGGGACAGUGUCUGGUGGGUAGUUUAACUGGGGCGGUUGCCUCCUAAAGAGUAACGGAGGCGCCCAAAGGUUCCCUCAGCCUGGUUGGCAAUCAGGUGUUGAGUGUAAGUGCACAAGGGAGCUUGACUGUGAGACUGACGGGUCGAGCAGGUACGAAAGUAGGGACUAGUGAUCCGGCGGUGGCUUGUGGAAGCGCCGUCGCUCAACGGAUAAAAGGUACCCCGGGGAUAACAGGCUGAUCUUCCCCAAGAGUCCAUAUCGACGGGAUGGUUUGGCACCUCGAUGUCGGCUCGUCGCAUCCUGGGGCUGGAGUCGGUCCCAAGGGUUGGGCUGUUCGCCCAUUAAAGCGGUACGCGAGCUGGGUUUAGAACGUCGUGAGACAGUUCGGUCCCUAUCCGCUGUGCGCGUAGGAGUAUUGAGAAGGGCUGUCCCUAGUACGAGAGGACCGGGACGGACGAACCUCUGGUGUGCCAGUUGUCCUGCCAAGGGCAUGGCUGGUUGGCUACGUUCGGAAAGGAUAACCGCUGAAAGCAUCUAAGCGGGAAGCCUGCUUCGAGAUGAGUACUCCCACCCCCUUUGAGGGGUUAAGGCUCCCAGUAGACGACUGGGUUGAUAGGCCAGAUAUGGAAGCCUGGUAACGGGUGGAGUUGACUGGUACUAAUAGGCCGAGGGCUUGUCCUC